ensembl:lncRNA
CUUGAGAAUUGAGAAACGGCCCACGAGUCCGUGCUCGCGUUCUCGGCGGGUACAUACUCCCUUGCGUUCUCGGCGAGUACGUACUCACCGAGAACGCGAGUACGUACUCGCGUACUUGGGCAUUGAUAAACGGCCACUGUGUUGGAACAACGUCGACAAGAAUCAUGCUUAAAAGCAGCUCCAAAGAAAACGGACGGUAUAGAGACCGAUUGCGUCCAGAGGCGAAGCAGCGGUACUUAAAAAAAAUAGAGUGCAUCGCAAAUUUGAACCCAUAUGAAAUACGGCAGUGGAGUAAAGACCCAGACAACUUUGGAGAAUGGACUGUAUAGAGACCGAUUGCGUCCAGAGGCGAAGCAGCGGUACUUGCAGAAAAUAGCAUGCAUUGGAAAUGUGGACCUGUAUGAAACACGGCCGUGGAGUAGAAACCCUGAAGACCAACCGCUACUGACAUAGCCUCACAUAUUUUCGUACCUUAUCUGUGCAGUCAGCGAGUACAAGUCGUCAUUCAAACAAAGGUGCUGCACUCUCAAAGACUGAAUGAACCAGCAUUGCAGCCAUGGGUCACUGUGAGCAUCACAGGGAAGGUUGAAGACGCCCACUGCACCUGUAUGGCCGGAGUCGUGGAGACCUGCAGCCAUGUCGCUGCUCUUCUGUUUAAUGUAGAAGCAACAGUGCGGAUCUGUGGCACAAGGACUGUUACAGAUGAACCUGCAUACUGGGUUUUGCUGGGUUAUGUGACCAAGAUACAGUCAGUGGUUGGCCAUAAGAUAGACUUCUCCUCUUCAGCUGCCCAAAAAAAGGCUCUUGAUCAAAACAUAAACAGACCAUCCGUAGUGAAAGGUAAAAGGAGCCAUCCUCAAAAAAGAAAAAUCCCACCUGCUACUGUGGAGGAGUUGUCACUGCUAUAAUGCCAUAAUGUUUUAUCUAGGGGUCUAGAUUUAUACCUGUAGUGCACUGCCAUGUAAAUAAUUUGCAUUUACUGAAUAUGUACUGACUGAGUACCACUGUUCAAAAAUUUAAUAAAGAAACAAACUAAGUUUUGCCUCUUUUUU